UGGGGAAUAUUGUACAAUGGAGGGAACUCUGAUGCAGCGACGCCGCGUGAACGAAGAAGGCUUUCGAGUCGUAAAGUUCUUUUAUAUGGGAAGAUAAUGACGGUACCAUAAGAAAAAGCCCCGGCUAACUACGUGCCAGCAGCCGCGGUAAUACGUAGGGGGCUAGCGUUGUCCGGAAUCACUGGGCGUAAAGGGUUCGCAGGCGGAAAUGCAAGUCAGGUGUAAAAGGCAGUAGCUUAACUACUGUAAGCAUUUGAAACUGCAUAUCUUGAGAAGAGUAGAGGUAAGUGGAAUUUUUGGUGUAGCGGUGAAAUGCGUAGAUAUUAAAAAGAAUACCGGUGGCGAAGGCGACUUAGUGGGCUCAUUCUGACGCUGAGGAACGAAAGCGUGGGUAGCAAACAGG
rnacentral:rRNA from 1 species